AUUGAACGCUGGCGGCAUGCCUUACACAUGCAAGUCGGACGAGUGGCGAACGGGUGAGUAACGCAUCGGAACGUACCGAGUAAAGGGGGAUAACUGCCCGAAAGGAUAGCUAAUACCGCAUACUAUUCGAUCGGCCGAUGUCGGAUUAGCUGGUUGGCGGGGUAAAGGCCCACCAAGGCGACGAUCUGUAGCGGGUCUGAGAGGAUGAUCCGCCACACUGGGACUGAGACACGGCCCAGACUCCUACGGGAGGCAGCAGUGGGGAAUUUUGGACAAUGGGCGCAAGCCUGAUGCAGCCAUGCCGCGUGUCUGAAGAAGGCCUUCGGGUUGUAAAGGACUUUUAUCAGGGAAGCGGUACCUGAAGAAUAAGCACCGGCUAACUACGUGCCAGCAGCCGCGGUAAUUC
rnacentral:rRNA from 1 species